rnacentral:rRNA from 1 species
GUCUUAGCUUGCUAAGGCCGAUGGCGACCGGCGCACGGGUGAGUAACACGUAUCCAACCUGCCGUCUACUCUUGGACAGCCUUCUGAAAGGAAGAUUAAUACAAGAUGGCAUCAUGAGUCCGCAUGUUCACAUGAUUAAAGGUAUUCCGGUAGACGAUGGGGAUGCGUUCCAUUAGAUAGUAGGCGGGGUAACGGCCCACCUAGUCUUCGAUGGAUAGGGGUUCUGAGAGGAAGGUCCCCCACAUUGGAACUGAGACACGGUCCAAACUCCUACGGGAGGCAGCAGUGAGGAAUAUUGGUCAAUGGGCGAGAGCCUGAACCAGCCAAGUAGCGUGAAGGAUGACUGCCCUAUGGGUUGUAAACUUCUUUUAUAAAGGAAUAAAGUCGGGUAUGGAUACCCGUUUGCAUGUACUUUAUGAAUAAGGAUCGGCUAACUCCGUGCCAGCAGCCGCGGUAAUACGGAGGAUCCGAGCGUUAUCCGGAUUUAUUGGGUUUAAAGGGAGCGUAGAUGGAUGUUUAAGUCAGUUGUGAAAGUUUGCGGCUCAACCGUAAAAUUGCAGUUGAUACUGGAUAUCUUGAGUGCAGUUGAGGCAGGCGGAAUUCGUGGUGUAGCGGUGAAAUGCUUAGAUAUCACGAAGAACUCCGAUUGCGAAGGCAGCCU